UCCCCUGUAGGAAAAUAAGCGAAAAUAAGCAGUGCCUUGUGGUGUUGAUCAUCCCAUGGACAAAGAGGAGUUUGCUUCCAGGAUCUGUCAAGGCAUUGAAGCCAGCUCCUCACCGGUGACAAAGCCAUGCUUUUAAAAGACCAGGUGUAUUUCCCUUGCAUGGUGAUAUACACCAGAGAAUAGGAAAAGUGACCCAUAAGUAUAAAUCCUUGGUAACUAGGACUUCUUUUCUGCUACUGUAUAAAAGUAUAUACCUACCUCAAUAUACUAUUUGACUGCCAACUCCAGGUUACUGAAGCACGUCUUUUCUUCUAAAGAAGUAUGGCAAGUUAAUUUGCACUAAAUGCAAUUUAUGAUAUAUACCAGGUUUCAUUGUUGCUGGAAAAGGUUUUGCAUGGAUCAAUUUAGGGAGCAGCUGAAAGUUCUUAUUAUUCAGGAGUGCUAUCUUUCAAGAAUACAUCCUUCGCAUGUUGGUAUGUCAAUAUACCUGUUUCAGAAAUAUCUGAUAUGAAAGACAGCCUCCAAGAUCACCCACAUGAGCUAGAUAGGCAGGGGCGAAAACAAAGACCUGAACCAAUAGAGACAACACUAUAUGCUCUAGCUAAAGAACCAAUAAAACUAUUUUGGUGAACAUCUUUCCAUUAAUAUGCACUAUCAAUAUAGUAUGCUUAUAUCUGAACAAAUCUAAUGCAUUAAUGGCACACGAGGAAAAAGUUACGCAAACAAUGUUCAAGACUGCUCGCUCAUGUCCUGUAAAGAUUUCUGAAAGAAGACAUCCUAACGGAAAUGUCUACAAAUUUCUGAAGUGGCCAUACAUAUUACAUAGAAGGAAAACACAGGUACAAACUAUCCGCUAACUGAAAGG